rnacentral:rRNA from 1 species
UACGGAGGGUGCAAGCGUUAUCCGGAUUCACUGGGUUUAAAGGGUGCGUAGGUGGGUUGGUAAGUCAGUGGUGAAAUCUCCGAGCUUAACUUGGAAACUGCCAUUGAUACUAUCAGUCUUGAAUAUUGUGGAGGUCAGCGGAAUAUGUCAUGUAGCGGUGAAAUGCUUAGAUAUCAAGUGGAACACCAGUGGCGAAGGCGAGUCUCUGGACGAUUCCUGACACUGAGGCACGAAAGCCAGGGGAGCAAACGGG